CCUUCGAUAGCUCAGUUGGUAGAGCGGUGGACUGUAGAAGUGGAAAUUGAGUACCAUCAACCAUUGCAUUGGUGCGUGAAAAUUUCGAGCAGUUAUCCAUAGGUCACUGGUUCAAAUCCGGUUCGAAGGA
rnacentral:tRNA from 2 species